GCUCCCGCGGGGAGGAGGGUCUGGGCAGGGAGGCCGGACGCCGACUGCGCUCCGCAAGGUGCUCGGAGUCAGAAGGACCCGGGUUCUAAUCCCGACCCCGCCACUUGUCUGCCGGGCGACCUCGGCAGAUCGCUUCGCCUCUCCGCGCCUCGGUUCCCUCAUCUGUAAAAUGGGGGUGGGGACCGCGAGCCCCACGUGGGACGGGGACUGCGUUCAACCCGUUUCUCCCGGAUCCACCCGAGCGCCUAGAAGAGAGCUUAACGGAUGCCAGAAGAAAAGGGGGGAAAGCACGCCCGGCCGCCUCUGAGGUGGGUUGAGCGGAGGACCGCCUCGUGUUGGGUUGGCUCCCCGGCCCCGGGGACUUUCAGAAGCAGCGUGGUCCGGCGCAAAGGGCUCGGGACCGAGUGGCACAGGGCCUGCCGUUUGUUUUUCUUUUUACUGAACGGUAUCUCUUAAGCUCCCGCUCUGUGCCGGGCACCGUACUGAGCGCUGGGCUCUGCGCGGGACCUCGGACAGGUGGUUUUACCGCCCUAGGCCUAAAUUCCCUUACCUUCAAAAUAGAGAUUCAAUACCCGUUCUCCUCCCUACGAGGGACCCGAUCAUCUCGCGUCUACCCCAGCGCGUGGGACAGCGCGCGACACAUACCGCUUAACAGAUGCCAUCGUCAUUCAUUAUCAUUUCUGGAAGACUCUGGGGAGAGCUACUCCUCCCCUAACUCGAGGGAGGUCGGACCCCCGGACGCCGGGCCACGGCCGGCGGGCGGGGGGGAGCCCGGAGCCGGGGGGAGGUGGGAGACACCGCUCAGGUGGAAGGGGCGGACGGUUUGGCGGCGGCGGGGCCGAGAGCAGGUCGGGGGCCACGAGGUCGGGGCCCAAGGUGAGAAAUCAGCUAAGAGCCCCAAACGCUCCUCACACGCUGUCACGGGAGGACCGACUUACAUUCACACCCAAAUCACAUCCAUCCCCAGGCCGGUACGGACACGCGUUCUCGCACACGCACCCGGACGCACAGACAGUCACCUGAUAUUCACACACAGAUCCACACGGACAGUUUUACGUACACACACACUCCUAAUCCUAUUACUUUCACACACAGACCCACGUGAUCACUCAUUGUUUCACACACACACACACACACACUCCCAGUCGCAUCACAUCCACACACAGACCCUCAUCCUUACACACACGUACCCGCCGUCACAUCACAGUCACACACGGAUCCACAUCAUCACUCAGACGCUCUUUCACACACACACACACACACUCACUCCCCAUCCCAUCACGUUCACCCACAGACCCCCGCUCUUAUACGCCGUCACAUCACCUUCACACACAGACCCACACGAUCUCACUCACACUCUUUCACACACACGCACACGCGCGCGCCCGGCCGGUCACACACAGAUCCUCACGCUCGUCCUCGCACACGCUAUCACGGCACAUUCGCACACAGACCCACGCGAUCGCUCAUUCUUCCACACGCCCACACGCCCACGCGCUCCCGGUCACGUAUCGCCUCCGUUGCCGAACUGUACUUCCCGAGCGUCCGGCACGGUGCUCCGCACACAGUCAGCGCUCCAUAAAUGCGAUGGGACGGGACGAACGGAUUCACACACGGACCCUCACGGACAAUCAUCCUCACACACACACACACUCCCGGUGAUGUGCCAUUCACACAAAGACCCUCCCAAUCCUUCUUACACACACAGACACAGUCUCACUCCCAUUCCACACACACACACACACACACACACAGAGUCUCAGUCCCAUUCCAUACACACACACAGAGUCUCAAUCCCAUUCCAUACACACACACACACACACAGAGUCUCAGUCCCAUUCCCCACAGACACACACACACAGUCUCAGUCCCAUUCCACACACACACACACAGAGUCUCAGUCCCAUUCCAUACACACACACACACAGUCUCAGUCCCAUUCCCCACAGACACACACACAGAGUCUCAGUCCCAUUCCCCACAGACACACACACACAGUCUCAGUCCCAUUCCCCCCCCCACACACACACUCAGUCCCAUUCCCCACAGACACACACAGACACACAGUCUCAGUCCCAUUCCACACACACACAGUCUCACUCAGUCCCAUUCCCCUCCGCCCCCUCCCGGUGCCAUUCUCCCCCUCCCCGCCCCCCCCCCGCGGAGCUCCCCUUUGUCCGCGCGCCCCCCGUGGGGUGGCCGGGUGUCUCCCGGGGGGGGGGGGGGGGGGAGGGGGGAAUCGGGGACGCGGCGGGCCGUCGAUCAGGCCCCCGACCCUCCGACCGACCAAUCCGGCGGGUCCGGCCCCGCCCCCGGGACCCCCGACCGACCAAUCGGAGAGGGGC
rnacentral:lncRNA from 1 species